rnacentral:rRNA from 1 species
AGUCACUGACAUUAGAUACCCGUGUAGUCCAGGGUAUAAACGCUGCAGACUUGGUGUUGGGAACCCUUCGGGGGUGCUCAGUGCCGGAGAGAAGUUGUUAAGUCUGCUACUUGGGGAGUACGUCCGCAAGGAUGAAACUUAAAGGAAUUGGCGGGGGAGCACCGCAACGGGAGGAGCGUGCGGUUUAAUUGGAUUCAACACCGUAAAACUCACCAGGGAAGACUGUUACAUGAAGGCCGAGAUGAAGACUCUGCUAGAUUUUCAG